rnacentral:rRNA from 1 species
AUUGAACGCUGGCGGCAGGCCUAACACAUGCAAGUCGAGCGAGCGGCGGACGGGUGAGUAAUGUAUGGGGACUGCCCGAUAGAGGGGGAUAACUACUGGAAACGGUAGCUAAUACCGCAUACUAUCGGAUAACCCAUAUGGGAUUAGCGAGUAGGUGGGGUAAUGGCUCACCUAGGCGACGAUCCCUAGCUGGUCUGAGAGGAUGACCAGCCACACGGGAACUGUGACACGGUCCAGAGUCCUACGGAGGCAUCAGUGGGGAAUAUUGAACAAUGGGCGCAAUCCUGAUGCAGCCAUGCGGCGUGUGGGAAGAAGGCCUUCGGGUUGUAAAGCACGUUCAGCGAGGAGGCGUUACUCGCAGAAGAAGCACCGGCUAACUCCGUGCCAGCAGCCGCGGUAAUAC